GACGAACCGUGCGAACGUUGUUCGGAAUCACUGGGCUUAAAGGGCGCGUAGGCGGGUCCCAAAGUCGGGGGUGAAAUACUCCGGCCUAACCGGAGAACGGCUUCCGAUACUGGGGACCUCGAGGGGUGUAGGGGCAUGCGGAACUUCCGGUGGAGCGGUGAAAUGCGUAGAUAUCGGAAGGAACGCCGGUGGCGAAAGCGGCGUGCUGGACACCUUCUGACGCUGAGGCGCGAAAGCCAGGGGAGCAAACGGG
rnacentral:rRNA from 1 species